CAGGGGGCGGGGCCGGGCGGCGCCGGCGCCAUGGCUGCGGUGUGCUGAGGGGGCUGCGCGGUCUUGAGGGGCAAAGGGGGGGUUUCUGUGUGAAAACCGUCGCCUUUUUGCCGUAUCGGGGUGGCGGGGGGCUCCCUGUCCGCCGCGGUGCCAGGCUGUGCCGGCAGCAGCCGGCUCCCGGCGCGGCCCGAGCCUCCGCGCGCCUCAGAGCUGCUCCUUUUACCGCGGUGCAGCCGUUACCGGGCGAAUUGCAGCUGCAGCCGGCCGUGAACGCGAGCGGCUAAACACGGGCUAGGGCGACAUAACAGCCGGCCCCGUGGUGGCGGUCCCCGAGGAGGCGGAGGUGUGGCCCGUCCCGGCGUAAGCGGUUCAUCCCCGGCAGUGGAGAGAUCUGCGAUGUGAGAGCCAAGUUCCCUUUUUCCUGAGGCUCUUAGGGCCUCCUGCAGUCGCCCAGUCCAUGGCACGGAUGGAAAAGGGACUUGUUCAGAAAAAAAAGGCAUGGAUUGAAGCAAAGAGGCACAGCGGACACAUUCUCUACCUGUGGUGGAAUAUUGCUUGAUUGUCUGCAGUCAGGAAGAUAGUAAGGUAGUAUUUCAAUGCUUAUGGGAAACACAGUUUUUAUGAGGAAAGAACUGGGAGUAAAGUAACAGGCUCAGGCUGGAGGCCAAUGGAAAUAUCCUUGAGAAAAAUCUUUGGCUUUUCUCCAUUUAGUUAGCAGGUAAUUUCCACCUCAUGAAAGUGAGAAAAUAAUAGCAUACUCAGUGUGAUGUUACGUAACGAGUCAGAACUUCUAAGUUUUUGGAAGUGGUGCAAGAAGGGAAUGAAGGAUAUUUGGCAUCUUGGGUGGUGUUAUCCAUUGAUCCAACACUAGAUCUGUUCUCAAAAGAUAUGCACUGAAGCGAGGCUACCGUGCUGGUAACUGUAGCAGUGUUAGCUUUUCUGAGCAUACUGCGACAAGUAUCUCUGCUGAACAGAUUAGCCAGGUUGGUUAGAGCAGCACAAUAAAUCUGUACUGUUAAAAGAAAAGACAAAAAAAGAGCAAAUACUGAA